rnacentral:rRNA from 1 species
ACAAGCGGCGGAGCAUGUGGCUUAAUUCGACGCAACGCGAAGAACCUUACCAAGGACUGGACAUACACCGGAGAGCAUUAGAGAUAGUGCCCCCCUUGUGGUCGGUGUACAGGUGGUGCAUGGCUGUCGUCAGCUCGUGUCGUGAGAUGUAGGGUUAAGUCCUCGCAACGAGCGCAACCCUUGUCCCGUGUUGCCAGCAGGCCCUUGUGGUGCUGGGGACUCACGGGAGACCGCCGGGGUCAACUCGGAGGAAGGUGGGGACUACGUCUUUCAUGCAUGCUC